rnacentral:rRNA from 1 species
CCCUGUUAUUCUAAAACAAAAUAAUAAUUCAAAGGGAAUUCACCCAAACAAAAUAAAUUUGACGGUAUUAACUUUUACAAAGGAAUUUGUUUCUAAAUCGACAACCCACGAUUAACCUUACUUAAUAAUUAUCUGUAUACCACCGUAUCAAAAAUUAUUUAAAAUAAACUUUUCAAUAGAAUCAAUUCUACAAAAUCAGGUCAAGGUGCAAUUUCAUUAAGAUGAAAUGAAUUACAUUAAUUUAUAUUAAUUCAUAAUAGUUGAAAUCCUAUUUAAAAUAGAAUUUGUUAGUAAAAUUUUAUCAUUAUGCUUAUUUGAAAAUUAACAUUAAUAUGUACAUAUCGCCCG